rnacentral:rRNA from 1 species
GAUGAACGCUGGCGGCGUGCCUAAUACAUGCAAGUCGAGCGAACAGACGAGGAGCUUGCUCCCCUGACGUUAGCGGCGGACGGGUGAGUAACACGUGGAUAACCUACCUAUAAGACUGGGAUAACUUCGGGAAACCGGAGCUAAUACCGGAUAACAUGUUGAACCGCAUGGUUCAACAGUGAAAGACGGUUUUGCUGUCACUUAUAGAUGGAUCCGCGUCGCAUUAGCUAGUUGGUAAGGUAACGGCUUACCAAGGCAACGAUGCGUAGCCGACCUGAGAGGGUGAUCGGCCACACUGGAACUGAGACACGGUCCAGACUCCUACGGGAGGCAGCAGUAGGGAAUCUUCCGCAAUGGGCGAAAGCCUGACGGAGCAACGCCGCGUGAGUGAAGAAGGUCUUCGGAUCGUAAAACUCUGUUAUUAGGGAAGAACAAAUGUGUAAGUAACUAUGCACGUCUUGACGGUACCUAAUCAGAAAGCCACGGCUAACUACGUG